AUUGAACGCUGGCGGAAUGCUUUACACAUGCAAGUCGAACGGCAGCACGGACUUCGGUCUGGUGGCGAGUGGCGAACGGGUGAGUAAUGUAUCGGAACGUGCCCAGUCGUGGGGGAUAACGUAGUGAAAAUUACGCUAAUACCGCAUACGAUCUAUGGAUGAAAGCGGGGGAUCGCAAGACCUCGCGCGAUUGGAGCGGCCGAUAUCAGAUUAGGUAGUUGGAGGGGUAAAGGCCCACCAAGCCAACGAUCUGUAGCUGGUCCGAGAGGACGACCAGCCACACUGGAACUGAGACACGGUCCAGACUCCUACGGGAGGCAGCAGUGGGGAAUUUUGGACAAUGGGCGAAAGCCUGAUCCAGCCAUUCCGCGUGCAGGAUGAAGGCCCUCGGGUUGUAAACUGCUUUUGUACAGAACGAAAAGGUUUCUACUAAUACUAGGAGCUCAUGACGGUACUGUAAGAAUAAGCACCGGCUAACUACGUGCCAGCAGCCGCAGUAA
rnacentral:rRNA from 1 species